rnacentral:tRNA from 1 species
GCGUCGCGAACUCGAGCGGCAGAGUACCGGGCUCUUACCCCGGCGUGUCAGGGGUCGAGCCCCUGGCGACGCACCA